UACGUAGGGGGCAAGCGUUGUCCGGAAUCAUUGGGCGUAAAGAGCGUGUAGGCGGCUCGAUAAGUCUGCUGUGAAAGUCCAGGGCUCAACCCUGGAAGGCCGGUGGAAACUGUCGGGCUAGAGUCCGGAAGAGGCGAGUGGAAUUCCAGGUGUAGCGGUGAAAUGCGUUGAUAUCGGAAGGAACGCCGGUGGCGAAAGCGACGUGCUGGACCUCUUCUGACGCUGAGGCGCGAAAGCUAGGGGGAGCGAACGGG
rnacentral:rRNA from 1 species